CGUUGACAUACAACAAAAAUGCGUUGCGUCUUUCUUAUUGUUGUGUGCAGACAUGAAACGUUGGGCCUGCGACUCGUAUCGAUCGCUACACAGUUACGUCAUUUUUGUAAUAAAAAGUCAGCGGCAACGUUAACCUUCGUUCAAAUUCGUUUUGCAACUCGUCAAGAACGUCAAAGUCUCUUCUUCUUCUAUUUAACGGAACGGAUCAAAACCCAUAUCAUCCGGUUGGUUGAGAAGAAAAGUUGGAAAGCAUCAAACAGCGCAAGUCGCAAACGCUGACUUGUGAUCUCUCUUGGCAGUCUUCUCUCUCCCCCUAUUGGUUAGGAGGGGGGGAAUGUUAUAUCCACUCCCCUUCUUCUUUUGCCUUCCUUGUUAGCAAGUCCCUCAAGAGUUUGAUCUGCGUCGGCACCGGAGUUUUAACAUCCAAGCAGCUCAUUAGCGUCUCAUCAGUUACGUGUCAUAUAUAUAGGCGAACAUAUUAUGGAGCAUCUGCCCACUUUGGGGAUGUUCCCUCUUUAUUGCCCAUUUGAAUUGUUUAUUUAUUUUAUUUAUUUUUUUAAAGGAAAGAAAAUUGUCUACUCACGAUUUCAGCGUGUCCUUCCCGACAUCCGGCAGCGAAUCUCAUUUGGCGUUCCUCCAUCGGUCGAUCUCGAAAUCCGACGUACCUCACCUGAAUACGUGUGAAAUAAAUCAAAGGAUUGAAUCAAUCAUAAACAUAGUACAACUAAAUGUUUCGUAGAAAUGGGACGUUAAGUUGCCAUGUCAAACAGAUGUAAACAGACAAAUAAAUGAUAAACGUCAUAUAGAAAUGAA